AUGAGGAAACACGGGGAAGCUCUCCUGGGGCUCCUGUGCAUCCAGGUUUGCUGGGUGAGAGGGAUGACUGUGGAGCAAAGCCCUUCAGCCCUGAUCCACCAGGAGGGAGCCAGCUUUACUCUCCAAUGCAAUUUUUCCCAAACUGCGGGCAGUGUGCAGUGGUUCCGACAGCACCCUGGGGGCAGCGGUCUCACCAGGCUGUUUUACAUCGCUUCAGGGAUGCAGCAGAGUGGAAGGUUAAACUGCACAGUGAAUACUAGGGAACGGUCCAGCACCCUCCACAUCGGGGCCUCCCAACUGGAAGACUCAGCCACGUACCUGUGUGCAGCCCAGGCACAGUGCUCCCUGGUGAUCUGCAGCCUGCACCCAAACUGCACUGCACCUGCAGCCCCCGCCCUUCCCCGGGGCGGGCAUUUGCCCCACAGCAGACUUUGCACAUAUUCAGAUUUUCAGAUUUACCUUAGGGCAUGUUUUUCCUCCUAA